GACGAACGCUGGCGGCGUGCCUAAUACAUGCAAGUUGAGCGAUGAAGCUUGGUGCUUGCACCAAUUUGCAGAGCAGCGAACGGGUGAGUAACGCGUGGGGAAUCUGCCUUUGAGCGGGGGACAACAUUUGGAAACGAAUGCUAAUACCGCAUAACAACUUUAAACAUAAGUUUUAAGUUUGAAAGAUGCAAUUGCAUCACUCAAAGAUGAUCCCGCGUUGUAUUAGCUAGUUGGUGAGGUAAAGGCUCACCAAGGCGAUGAUACAUAGCCGACCUGAGAGGGUGAUCGGCCACAUUGGGACUGAGACACGGCCCAAACUCCUACGGGAGGCAGCAGUAGGGAAUCUUCGGCAAUGGACGAAAGUCUGACCGAGCAACGCCGCGUGAGUGAAGAAGGUUUUCGGAUCGUAAAACUCUGUUGGUAGAGAAGAACGUUGGUGAGAGUGGAAAGCUCAUCAAGUGACGGUAACUACCCAGAAAGGGACGGCUAACUACGUG
rnacentral:rRNA from 1 species